GGUUGAUCCUGCCGGACCCCACUGCUAUCGGGAUAGGACUAAGACAUGCUAGUCGAGUGACUCAGGCAAAACGAGUCACGGCGAACAGCUCAGUAACACGUGGCUAAUCUGCCCUUAGGACGAGAAUAACCCCGGGAAACUGGGGCUAACUCUCGAUAGGUGAAGAACUCUGGAAUGAGUCUUCACUCAAAAAGCUUCACGUUAUCCUCGUGAAGUCGCCUAAGGAUGAGGCCGCGGCCGAUCAGGUUGUUGGCGAGGUAACGGCUCACCAAGCCUUUUACCGGUGCGGGCC
rnacentral:rRNA from 1 species